rnacentral:rRNA from 1 species
AGAGUUUGAUCCUGGCUCAGAUUGAACGCUGGCGGCAUGCUUUACACAUGCAAGUCGAACGGCAGCACAGGCUUCGGCCUGGUGGCGAGUGGCGAACGGGUGAGUAAUGCGUCGGAACGCGCCGAGUAGUGGGGGAUAACGCAGCGAAAGCUGUGCUAAUACCGCAUACGUACUGAGGUAGAAAGUGGGGGACCUUCGGGCCUCACGCUAUUCGAGCGGCCGACGUCUGAUUAGCUAGUUGGUGGGGUAAAGGCUCACCAAGGCGACGAUCAGUAGCGGGUCUGAGAGGAUGAUCCGCCACACUGGGACUGAGACACGGCCCAGACUCCUACGGGAGGCAGCAGUGGGGAAUUUUGGACAAUGGGCGCAAGCCUGAUCCAGCCAUGCCGCGUGUCUGAAGAAGGCCUU